rnacentral:lncRNA from 1 species
AUGAUGGAGCUUAAAGAUUAUCUACUAUUUAAUAAUGAUGUAUUAAAUGACUUAUCGUUUUUUGAAAAGGUUUUAACUUAUUAUAUAUUAAAAAAAUUAACGAAAUUGUUUUUUUUUAAAAACAGUGCUGAUUAUACUAUUGACAUAUGUUCUUGUGAGGAUUUUACUGUAAACAAUUUAUUUUAUUCAAAUUGUAUUAAUUUUUAUACCUUAAAAAAUAAGAAAACAUUAUUAAAUUUUUUUUCAAAAGUGGUACUAAAUGAUAGUACAAAAAAUGUACAAACUUAUAUUAAGCACAAAGAAUUAUCAGCAUACCGUGUGGCUAGCGCUUGGAACAUAUAUCUCAUAACUGUCUUACACUAUUAUUAUAACAAAAUAAUAAAAAAUAAAAAUAAGAAGAAGGUACCCAAAUUAAAAAAAAAAUUACCAAUUAAAAAACAAAACAAUAAAACAAAUUUUUUUACAAAUUUCUGUUCCUAUAUACUAUGUCUUUUACAUUACGAAAAUCAAAUUAUUAAAAAAAGGGACAAGGAAUUAUUUUUAUUUUUAUUUUUUUUUUUUUUUUCAAAAAAAGUAACAUGUAUAAAAAAAAACAAAAAAGAAGCAUGUUACUCUUAUCAAAAUGUGAAACAUAAGAAAGGAAAAAAAAAAAAAACAUUUUCUAAAAACUCAUUAAAUAAUUAUAAUACAACACAAUUGUUUGAACAUUUUAAAAAAUUAAACAUAACAAAUAUAAACGAUUUGAUUCAUAAUCAUUUAUGUCAUAUAUAUUUGUUUAAUGAUGGUCAAAGUAGUAACAGUAAUGUCGAUGUUAGUGACAUAAACAGUAACAACAACAUCACCAACGUAAGAGAAAACGUGACCCAAAACAAUACAAACGACCCAAAAUUUUACUUCAAAACAAAAAAACCCAAACAAACUCUAAUUAUUUGUAAAAAAUCUCUUUUUUUUUUUAAUAAAAUAUGUUUAAGCUAUUUACAUUUUUUAAAUGCACAGUGUAACAAUAAUCCAAAAUUUAUAUGUGUCAAAAAAGAUUAUUUAUAUAAAAAUAACAAAAAUUUAAAAAAUUUAAAAAAAAUUAAAAAAAAAAGUUAUCAAAAAUUUUUAUUACAAUAUAGCAAUAUACAAAAUACGAAUAUAAAGAACAAAAUUUUGUCUUUUUUUUUUUUGUCAUUAUUAAUUAAUCAAAACCAGUAUAAAAAAAACAUUUAUAAUUUUUCAAAAAAUGACUAUUACUCAUUUUGUAACUGUCGUCCCUAUUUGUUUAACAGACACACUUAUUUGUUUAAAAAAAGAAAAUAUUAUCCUUUAUAUAUAAAAAAAUAUUUAUUAAUUUUUUAUUAUACAUUUUUUUUUACGAAACAAAAAAAAAUCCAAAAAAUUAAUAUUACAACUCAUGCAACUGAUACAACUCAUACAAAUUUUAUUACUAAAAAACAUCGAGGUAAAGAUAAAGUACUAACACAACAUGCACAUAAAACAGCUUUAAACCCAUAUGAACAGAAAAAAAAAAAAAAAAAUAAAAGUUUUCUAUUUACGACAACAUGUAUAUAUAUAUGUCUCCUUUACAACAACAAUUAUUAUAAUUUGUACAAUUCUUUAAUAUAUUUGAUAAAAAAAAAAAAAAGUGUAAAAUUACAUGAACGAAUUAAUCACUUAAUAAAUGAACUACUAAAAAUAGACGCAAAAUGUGCAUAUAUAUGGAAUGUCAAAUCAUUUCUGUUUUACUCAUACAUUCAAAAAUACCAAAGAAAGAAUUUAAAAAUUAUCAAACAGUGUCAAAUAUGGGGGACACCCUUCAAAAAAGGUAUAUUAUAUAAACACACACAUUACAAUUUAUUAAUACCUGUUCAAUUUCGAACUUAUAACUACACGCAUAUUAGAAAAGUAAAAAACGAAAAACAUUUUGCAAGUAACAAUAAUAAAAAUAAAAUAAUAAAAUAUAUAAAUACAAAUUUUGACUUUUUUUUUAAUAUAAUAGAACUUAAAGCACAUAACUAUAUGGUUUCUUCAUACAUACAUACCUUUUAUACUGUGCUAACCAAUUUACCCACAAAAUAUUUUUUUACAAAAGAAAAAAAAAAAAAUUUCAUUUAUAAUGAAACAAAUCAAAAACAGCUAGAAAAAAAAUAUAUGACUCUUUUACAGAAAAAUAUGUAUUAUUACGCGUUACAUAAUUAUGUUCUCCUAUGUCAUAUACAACAAAUAUAUUACUUUAUUUUUACUCAAAUAAGUAAAUAUUUUUUAAUUAUGUUUAAAAAAAAUAUAUACUAUAAUUUUUCGGCUAUACAAAAUUUUACCACUUAUGUAAACAAAAAUGGAAAACGGUCGUAUAUGUUAUCAUCCACUCAAAGCAAAACAAACGGAAGAAAAAAAAAAAAAAAAAAAGUAACCUUUAAAGGUGAGUUAAAAAGAUAUUAUUUAUUUGUAAAGACUACUUAUGUCGAAUUUUAUUUAUUUUUAAAAAAAAGACAAAUUAGACUAUUUCAACUAACUGGGCUAACUAACCAAACGAAAGAAGUUAUCCCAAAUUAUAUAAAUAACAUAAUGACAAUUUAUUUUUUAUACAAAGACGUUAAAAAACAGAUUUUGAAUUAUAAAUCAGUUCCAACAGCAAUGUUAAAAAUACUUAACAAUUUUUAUAGUGAAAAAUAUUACAUACAUUUUUAUGUAAAUUGUUUACGAAAUAUAAUAUACUGUAUUUGUAAUAAUAAUUAUUACUUUUUUGAGCUAUUUUUUAAUUUUUUUAUUCCUUUUUUGUUAAAAAAAAAUAAACAAACAAAUGAGCAAGAACAAACAUUUUUUCAAAUAAAAGAAAAAAAAAAAGAGCAAAAAAAAGAGCAAAAAAAAGAGCAAAAAAAAGAGCAAAAAAAAGANNNNNNNNNNCAAAAAAAAGAGCAAAAAAAAGAGCAAAAAAAAGAGCAAAAAAAAGAACAAAAAAAAAAAAAAACAAUAAUAAUAAAAAAAAUGUUACAAAGUAUUGAUAAAUAUUUUUUUAACGAACUAAAAUAUCUUACAAAAAUGUUUACUAACUUUCAAUUGAAAUGUCAUGUCAACAGAAGUAAAUGUAUUAAAAUAAAAAAAACAACAAACAACUUUUUUAAAAAGUGGAACUCUUUUUCCUUAAAACAUAUUUGCUAUAAUUGUGCAAUGAAAAAAAAUAAAAAAAUAAAAAUUAAUGAAAAUAACAUUACUAAACAUUUUUAUAUUUUUUCUAUAGACAAAAAUAGUAUAGACACAAACUUAAAUAUUCGAAUUGCUUAUGAAAAAAUGGCAAUUAAAAAAAUUAUCGUAAGGGAUAUAACUACCUUUCCAAAAAAAAAUUCAAAAAAAGUUGAUAAUAUAUACAGACAUUAUUUUAUGUUUUAUAAAUGCAUAGUUAAUGUAAUUUACGAAUAUUCUUUGUAUAUACAUCGAAUGUUGCAAUGUUGUAGGUAUGUGGAUACAAGUACGGGUACAAGUACAAGUGCAGGUGCAGAAAAUGGCAAAAAAAAAUUUCGUAGUGUUAACACUAGUGGUAUUAGACCUAGUAGGAUUACCCCUAACAGUACGAAUAGAAAAAAAUACAAUAGUAACAACAACAUAUGUAUUAAUAAAAAUACCAUAAACAAUGGUAAUAACAAUAUUAGUAAUUUCAAACUAAUACAAAAUUACAAUAAAUUUAAUAUUAUAAAAAAUAGAAAUGUUAGUUAUUUUAAUUUAAACAUAAAACAAAGUUGUCAUUUAUUAUACAAAAUUUAUAAAGAUAUAUCAUAUUUUUUUAAAAUCAUGAAAAAAAAUAAUUUUACAUUAUUUUAUAUUAUAAAACAAUAUUUAUUUAAAAAAACAAAAAAAAAAAAAAAAAAAAAAAAAACUUUUUUUAACUUCCUUUUUUUCAAUUCAUUUUCUUAUAUUUUUAUGUGA